UACGUAGGGUGCAAGCGUUAAUCGGAAUUACUGGGCGUAAAGCGUGCGCGAGGCGGUUAUAUAAGACAGUUGUGAAAUCCCCGGGCUACAACCCUGGGAACUGCAUCUGUGACUGUAUAGCUAGAGUACGGUAGAGGGGGAUGGAAUUCCGCGUGUAGCAGUGAAAUGCGUAGAUAUGCGGAGGAACACCGAUGGCGAAGGCAAUCCCCUGGACCUGUACUGACGCUCAUGCACGAAAGCGUGGGGAGCAAACAGG
rnacentral:rRNA from 1 species